GCCUGGGUGGCUCAGUGGGUUAAGCCUCUGCCUUUGGCUCAGGUCAUGAUCUCAGGGUCCUGGGAUCGAGUCCCAGGCUCAGGCU
rnacentral:tRNA from 1 species